AUUGAACGCUGGCGGAAUGCUUUACACAUGCAAGUCGAACGGCAGCACGGGUGCUUGCACCUGGUGGCGAGUGGCGAACGGGUGAGUAAUAUAUCGGAACGUAUCCAAUAAUGGGGGACAACUAAUCGAAAGGUUGGCUAAUACCGCAUACGCCCUACGGGGGAAAGCUAGGGACCUUCGGGCCUGGCGUUAAUGGAGCGGCCGAUAUCUGAUUAGCUAGUUGGUGGGGUAAUGGCCUACCAAGGCGACGAUCAGUAGCUGGUCUGAGAGGACGACCAGCCACACUGGAACUGAGACACGGUCCAGACUCCUACGGGAGGCAGCAGGGGGGAAUUUUGGACAAUGGGCGCAAGCCUGAUCCAGCCAUUCCGCGUGAGUGAAGAAGGCCUUCGGGUUGUAAAGCUCUUUCGCAAGGGAAGAAAACUUAUCCUCUAACAUAGGAUGAGGUUGACGGUACCUUGAUAAGAAGCACCGGCUAACUACGUGCCAGCCGCCGCAGUAACAC
rnacentral:rRNA from 1 species